UAGAAGCUGGUGUGAGAAGGGAUGUGUUGGGUUUUAUAAGACAGAGUUUAUAAAACAGUAUAAGGAAAGACUUUGGAAAGAGAAUUGAGGAAGCAGAAAAACAGUUUUCUUUAGGUAAGAAAG